rnacentral:rRNA from 1 species
AUUGAACGCUGGCGGCAGGCUUAACACAUGCAAGUCGAGCGGAGAGAGGUAGCUUGCUACUGAUCUUAGCGGCGGACGGGUGAGUAAUGCUUAGGAAUCUGCCUGUUAGUGGGGGACAACAUUUCGAAAGGAAUGCUAAUACCGCAUACGUCCUACGGGAGAAAGCAGGGGAUCUUCGGACCUUGCGCUAAUAGAUGAGCCUAAGUCGGAUUAGCUAGUUGGUGGGGUAAAGGCCUACCAAGGCGACGAUCUGUAGCGGGUCUGAGAGGAUGAUCCGCCACACUGGGACUGAGACACGGCCCAGAAUCCUACGGGAGGUAGCAGUGGGGAAUAUUGGACAAUGGGCGCAAGCCUGAUCCAGCCAUGCCGCGUGUGUGAAGAAGGCCUUAUGGUUGUAAAGCACUUUAAGCGAGGAGGAGGCUACUUUAGUUAAUACCUAGAGAUAGUGGACGUUACUCGCAGAAUAAGCACCGGCUAACUCUGUGCCAGCCGCCGCCGUAAAAC